rnacentral:rRNA from 1 species
CCUACGGGCGGCAGCAGUGGGGAAUAUUGCACAAUGGGGGAAACCCUGAUGCAGCGACGCCGCGUGAGCGAAGAAGCAUUUCGGUACGUAAAGCUCUAUCAGCAGGGAAGAAAAUGAAGGUACCUGACUAAGAAGCCACGGCUAACUACGUGCCAGCAGCCCCGGUAAUACGUAGGGGGCCAGCGUUAUCCGGAUUUACUGGGUGUAAAGGGAGCGUAGGCGGCAGCGCAAGUCUGGAGUGAAAUCACAUGGCUUAACCAUGGAACUGCUUUGGAAACUGGUCAGCUGGAGUGCAGGAGAGGUAAGCGGAAUUCCUGGUGUAGCGGUGAAAUGCGUAGAUAUUAGGAGGAACACCAGUGGCGAAGGCGGCUUACUGGACUGUAACUGACGUUGAGGCUCGAAAGCGUGGGUAGCAAACAGGAUUAGAUACCCGUGUAGUC